CAGAUGUCUUCAGACUGGUCACGUGAUGUACAGGAUCUUCAGAGAGCAGCACUGACAUCGCCCUUCACAUCAUUACACUGGUAGGGCAGGGUGUCAAGGUAACUGCCCCUUGGGGGCUGGGUUGAUACCCUGCACUUCAGUGCCAUUCAACCCGGAUCUUCUCGUGAUGAAGCGGUAUAAUCCGCGAAACUAGUUGAGAUACUGUUACAACCCUCAACUCAUCGCAAUGUCUUCUCCUUCUGGGGACCUCUGUUUUGGUGCUGUUGGAUGGCUGUCACAAUUUUAAUUCUGUAAUUGUCUUGUCUGUGCUUUGAAAUAAAAAUGUAUUAAUUUUUA